rnacentral:pre_miRNA from 1 species
GGAGUACUCCCUCCGUUCCAUAAUUCUUGUCUCAAAUUUGUCCAAAAAUGGAUGUAUCUAUUCCUAAAAAGCGUCUAGAUACAUGUAAUAUUUCGACAAGAAUUAUGGAACGGAGGGAAUAUUUA